rnacentral:rRNA from 1 species
UACAGAGGGUGCGAGCGUUAAUCGGAAUUACUGGGCGUAAAGCGUGCGUAGACGGUUAUUUAAGUCGGAUGUGAAAGCCCCGGGCUCAACCUGGGAAUUGCAUUCGAGACUGAAUAGCUAGGGUACGGUAGAGGGAAGUGGAAUUUCCGGUGUAGCGGUGAAAUGCGUAGAUAUCGGAAGGAACACCGGUGGCGAAGGCGGCAUCCUGGACCGACACUGACGCUGAGGAGCGAAAUCCAGGGGAGCAAACGGG